UACGGGGGGGAGCAAGCGUUGUUCGGAUUUACUGGGCGUAAAGGGCGCGUAGGCGGCGCAACAAGUCACUUGUGAAAAUCUCCGGGCUUAACCCCGGAGCGGUCAAGUGAUACUGUCGGGCUCGAGUCCGGAAGAGGCGAGUGGAAUUCCUGGUGUAGCGGUGAAAUGCGCAGAUAUCAGGAGGAACACCGAUGGCGAAGGCAGCUCGCUGGGACGUGACUGACGCUGAGACGCGAAAGCGUGGGGAGCAAACAGG
rnacentral:rRNA from 1 species